GGUGAACGGUGAAAGAAUGCACAGCCGAGCCCAGUCAGUACCUACUGUUAUUAGAGAGUGAGUGGUGGGGCAGAAAAAGUCUUUAGGGAAAGGGCCCGGUUCGUGGGCGAGCGAGCGGAGGGGGGGAGCAGGCAAGGUCAAGGUGGGUCUAAGUGUUUGGGCGGUGAACGUUGAGGAAAAGCGCCGUCGUUUGUUCUAGCGGCCGGCCGCGCCGCGUCCCUACCUGCGGCCGCUGGAGAGGUAGCACGUGGUGUAGCCGGAGCACGACGAGCGCGACACCCGGCGGCGGAGGAAGCCGACGACGGUGAGGCAGCAGAAGGAGUAGCGGAAGGAGAUGGAUAUGUACCAUUUACGGGCGACGCGUUACUCUGACGCCUUCGCUUAUGUUGUACGCCUUUACUUUAGACGGAUGGUCGCUUCUGACGAAAGACUACCUCUUAGUCAUGCAACCAAUUUAGUACGUCAGUUUUUCUACACCGGAUAGACAUACCUCUUCUAACAAAGUGUUGAAAAUGCCGGGUAGUAUGGCACCAAGAACCUAUUCAAGUUUGGAACCUAUCAAUCAUUUCGUUCACAGGUCCUCGAAAUGUACCCAUCCCUAAGUGGUUAUAAAUGGUGCUACUCUCAAGACGGACUCUGUAGUCUACUACUGGUAAACCAAAACCUCGAUCCCUACUUGAAGGAUAGACGACUUCUAUACUCACAACACGAACGGUACGUCGACGUAUUCUCACACCCUGAACCUUACUGGCGUUUGUACGUAAACUGAUCCUACGUACAGCUUCCUUUCCAAAAUGAACCACACUUCAAACAAGCCUCAACCGGUAAAGAACCGGCAGAUUCUGAUACGAAACACCUCGGAGGAAUAAAAGUUUACUGCCAUUUUGGUGAGCAACCGGUGCCUGAACUACAAUGGCUCAAAGGUCCUUAAAGUCCUACCGACCUAUUCAACUACCUAUGACGUAAACCCGUCUGUAAUCAACUCGGGUUAUACGAACAGUAGUUGUACCUUUUCAAGAGUAGAUGAGGAAGACUUUUAUUGACCAAGUUGUAACUCCUCUCUGGAGGACAACGUAUACACUUUGAACUCUAAAACCUUCCCGAACUGUACUUUGGUCGACUAUAUUUGCCCGACAGCCUGGGAAUACAGUCUCCAGCAUAACCAGAAAAAUUUAAGGUUUGAGUUUAUGUCUCCUUUUGUAAUAGAGGAUUUACCAAACUCCUUAAGUUCUAUGGGUAGUGCAGCACCCUUCGUAGUUUACUUGAACAAUACCUUCAAGCGCUAUUCCUGGUGUACAAACUACUGAGCGAACCUCUUACAUGGCAUCUGCAUUUACUUGACUCUCCACCUGUUUCUGUACUGUUUACCUAUAGCGACUUCUUACAGUUCUUUCCUUCCUAGGUGGACCGAUAUUGCUAACUUCUACAUAGUCUCCUCUGCCUCCGUUGUUGCUCAAACCUUCUUAGUGGCCGCUUUUGACUACGCUUUGACGGUGACGGGUGGAGACGACUAUCGUUCAGCCUACGACGAUUCGACGAAGUUCUUUCCUUUCAGUAUUACCUACUUCAACUCGUGUAACUGAAACUACCUGUUCUCGUUGGACCUCCCCAUAUACAUGUAGCGGGACCGUGACCUCAAGGGGUCUGUACCCUUAGGGCCUUUCCCGCCCGCGCGUUAGGUCUGUGCCUCUAGGAGGUUCUCCAACUGUAUAGUUUCCUUCGGGGAGGACGAGGAUGGGGUUUCUCACCAGCACCGCCAUACAAGUUAUACCCGAGUAAAAAGGCCUCCUUGAGCUUCUUCAGAGCGCUAGAACUAGGAUAGUAGGGGUGUUCAGGACCAGGAGUCUCACGUGGUCUCGAACUAGGCUUGGAGGGCGCCUGGGGCGCAGUUCCAAGCGGCCUAGAACUAGGCUUCGAGGGGGCUUGGGGUGCAGGGUUGGACUUCCUCGAACCGCUCUUCGCCUGUAGCUAUUUCUAACAGCACUCGCUGCUACGUUGGUUUCCUCCUCUGCGCCCUUCAAACUGUCUUCUGUACCGCUUCCACCACCUCUUCUUGCGUCCCCUCGGCCCGUCUAGUGACUGUUCGUGUGACUCGUCCUUCUAGAGGUACUUCUCUGCCCUGCUACAGGGACUCGUCCGGCUACGAAUACCUGCACUCCACCACCACUUGCUUCCCGGACAAUGUUAUCUCCCAUUCGGCUACCUACAGGUAGGCUGUUGCCUUCUACCGUUACACGUCCUACACCGGCACCUUCGUCUUUUGUGAUGAUGAGCCUGAAGUAUCUAGUCUCAUCUAUGUUCUAGUCGUUGACCAUUUCUAAAGAUCAUACACGAACAACAAGUAUACCACUUCUUAUUUCUAAAUCUCCACCAACAUCUUACACCGCUUGUCGUCACACGACACGCGGCGACGUGAGCAUCCGAUCCACUCGCUCGUACAACAUUCUACGUAAAGAACCUGUUUUGUCCACAUUUCUACAUUCUAAUGGUUUGUUAGACAUGCAUAUAUAUGGGUGUGAGUACAUACAAUACCUUAAUCACAAUAAAAGGUGCAUUUAAAGUACCGUCACUCUAUUUAAAC
rnacentral:rRNA from 1 species